AACAAGGGAAGUUAAGUUUACCCUAAUGGGUCCAUAGCCCCUUUAAAAGAAUAAUCCUUCUUUUUA
rnacentral:tRNA from 1 species